rnacentral:rRNA from 1 species
GACAGAGGAUGCAAGCGUUAUCCGGAAUGAUUGGGCGUAAAGCGUCUGUAGGUGGCUUUUCAAGUCCGCCGUCAAAUCCCAGGGCUCAACCCUGGACAGGCGGUGGAAACUGCCAAGCUGGAGUACGGUAGGGGCAGAGGGAAUUUCCGGUGGAGCGGUGAAAUGCGUAGAGAUCGGAAGGAACACCGGUGGCGAAAGCGGCGCGCUGGACCUCUACUGACGCUGAGGCGCGAAAGCCAGGGGAGCAAACGGG